ACAACAUUAAAUAGUAGUGGCAGCUGGGUUCUGUCGUUGGCAACUAAGAGAGUUGUUUUCUUUUCUCACAUUCAUUAAAAUGCACAAGAAGAAAUUUCUAAUGAUGGAGGAGUACUUGCUUCAAAUUCAUACUUCAGUGAAAUAAACAACAACACACAUCAGAAUGGCUAGAGUGUAAUGGCAGGAUCUCAGCUCACCGCAAACUCCACCUCCUGGGUUCAAGCGAUUCUCCUGCUUCAGCCUCCUGAGUAGCUGGGAUUACAGGUAUGUGCCACCAUGCCCCGCAAUUUUGUGUUUUUAGUAGAGACGGGGUUUCUCCAUAUUGGUCAGGCAGGUGUCAAACUCCCGAACUCAGCUGAUCCUCCUGCCUUGGCUUGCCAAAGUGCUGGGAUUACAGGCUUGAGCCACAGCACCUGGCCCUGUUAAAUUCUUAAGUAAGAUACUUAGUUCAUUAAUUUUUUGACUUCAUUAUUUUCCAAUAAGAGCAUUUAUCAUACUUGUUCAUUUAUUACCUGCAUAUACUGGAUGCCACACUCUAUGCUAUGUAAUAUUUUCAUUAUUAUUCAAUUAGAAGUACUUGAAUUUCCUUUACAACUUAUUCUUUGACUCAUGCAUGCUAUUUUAUCUUGUAUUUGAGUUAUUUCUUUUGAAAGAUACUAUUUUCUACAGGUAUUUUUUCAGAUUUAUGUACAUGUUUACUAUUUUAUUUAUUCACGUAUUGCUUCUUAUACUAUGGUUUUGGAAUCAUUUUCCUUCUUAUUUAUGCUCAUUUCUUUAUGGUAGGUCUUUGAGUGACAAACUCUCUCUUUUUGUUUAUCUCUAAACACCAAUAUUUUCCCCUUAUUCUUGAAAAAAUAGUUUGGCAUAUAUCAUUCUGGGUUGAAAAAUGUGAGGGUACUAUUUUCAACUGUCUACUUUCUGUUGUGGUAAAACACCUGCUUUAUGUCUGGUUGUCAUGUUUUUUUGUCAGUGAUUUCUUCUAUAUGCCUAAUUUUUAAAAUGUCCCCUUUCUCUAUCUCCUUUAUACUAUGCAGUUCUAAUAAAGUUUCUAGAUAUGUUUUAUUUUUCCUAUUUUGAACAUGCUAUACUUGCUUCUAGAAAAUUCACAGUCAUUAUUCAUAUAAGUAUUGUAUUCUCUCUAUUCUGUUUUCUUUUUCUUAGAAUGUAGUCCAGUAUUGUUAGAUUUUUUAAAUGUCUUUUAAUUAGUAAUUAUUAGUAUCAUUUAUUAGUAUAUACUGAUAAAUAUUAAUAUAUAUAGUAUAUGAUUUUGUAUCUAUUUUUUUCUUAUAAUUAUAUAUAUAAUUUUAUAAGUUUAAUUGCCCCCAAUCUGCUUAUUCUUCUUAUCUUUUUCUCAAUCUCUUGAUUGCAUUUAUUAUUUUUUAAACUUUUCAAACAUAGUUGUUUUAUGUAUGAUUCAAUGCAUCACAAGUCCUUGAGAUCCUAAAUCUGUUGCAGAUGGUUUCUCCUCAUUCACUCAUUUUUUUUCCUGUAAUUAGUAGUCUUUGAUUGUGAUAUUAAUGCCUGAUCAUAAUCUGUGAUGUCUGAGUCUUAUAUUUUGAGAGCUUUUCUCUAGAUAGGAUUUACUUCUAUGUCUGUAAGAAAUCAGUGCAUGCUGCUGGAAUGGUACUACUGCAGUUGUCCUUCAGUACCUUGGCUCAGCACCAAAGUCUCAGAAAUAAUUCUCCCUCCUAGCUAGUGGCCCCAGACUCUGAUCCUGACAAUAGCGUUCUCAGAGCACUUUGAAAUUUGCUCUCAGAGAAAACUCACUACACCAGAGUGACAGCCAUCUUUCUCCUCCAAGCUCAGAUUUUUUUUUUUUUUUUGGACAAGAGAAGAGAAGGCAAGUCCUUGAAAUUCUCCCUUAAGUUUUGUAAGAACAAAAUCACCAUCAAGAGUAUGCUUUACACAUACCUACCUACUUUGUAAAGAAAGAGCCUUUUAAAAUGCCUACUCUGGCAUUAUUGUAAAAGCCAAUAAAUCACUUUCUAGUUAGGCUAUUGGACACAGCACUUUUUUUCCAUUAAAAAAAGAAAAAGUAGGAGUUAAGGAGUAAGAAAUCGUUCAUUCAUAAAAUCACUUAUUCCCUAAUUUGUAUUGAAUGAUUGCACUGUGUCAGGAAAAGCGCUUUUCUCCAGGGAGGCCAAAGAUACAUCAGAUAUAUUCCCAAUAGGACUUACAACCCAACAUGGAGAGACAAACAUGGUCAGAGAAAGGUGUACAGUCACUUGCAAUUCUCUUUUGUCCCUGCAAAAUAUUUACUUAGCAAAUGACAUAUAUGUUUAAAUGAAAUGAAAGACAUACCAGGAGUAUAAUUGUUUUAAGAAAUACAUUUCAUCAAGGACAUAUGCUGACUGGGAUAUUUUAACUUUUGAAAUGGUGUUAC